AUUGAACGCUGGCGGCAUGCCUUACACAUGCAAGUCGAACGGCAGCACGGGGGCAACCCUGGUGGCGAGUGGGCGAACGGGUGAGUAAUACAUCGGAACGUGCCCGGGUAGUGGGGGAUAGCUCGGCGAAAGCCGGAUUAAUACCGCAUACGACCUACGGGUGAAAGCGGGGGACCGCAAGGCCUCGCGCUAUUGGAGCGGCCGAUGUCAGAUUAGGUUGUUGGUGGGGUAAAGGCCCACCAAGCCGACGAUCUGUAGCUGGUCUGAGAGGACGACCAGCCACACUGGGACUGAGACACGGCCCAGACUCCUACGGGAGGCAGCAGUGGGGAAUUUGGACAAUGGGCGCAAGCCUGAUCCAGCCAUGCCGCGUGCGGGAAGAAGGCCU
rnacentral:rRNA from 1 species